rnacentral:lncRNA from 1 species
AAGUUUCCUAGUAUCUGUUGAGAAGGAAAGAAAACAGGAAAUCCGCCUGAGUAGAUACAUUUGCCAAAAAAAAAAAAAAAAAAAAAAAAAUUCACAGCUGUCAUAACGUUUCCGCCAUCAAAGCACAGACUACAAGGAACAAGGGAAGGGAAGCAGUGCCAGCUUCUGGGGAACUUUCAGGACCAAAUUCGGUGAAAGACUCCUGCAAGCUUCUCCGCCUGCGCCUGCAGUUGCUGGGACUAUGACAAAGUCAUCUCGGCUUUUCAAAAAGCUCAGCAGAAAGUUUGACCCAAAGAACACUGGAUGAAUUGCUAAACAAAUGAAUGCAAGUUUCCGUGAAAUGAAGAAUGACAAACUACAUAGUCAGUGGACUCCUGAAUUUCUGGAGCAAUUGCAUGAAGACCAUUUUCGGGACUAGAAGGACCACAGGGCCAACUUAUGUCUAAUCUUCUGGAUUUCUCAGGCCCUGUGAGUGCAGGCAGGGUCUGCAGCGCCCUCAGUGGGAUUCUGCGUGGGGCCCUUUGUGUCCUGCCCAUCUCCACCAUCGCCUGCCAGCAUGAACUCU